CUAAAAUCCACUGUCGCAUAUCAUCUCUUUGCAACAUAUCAGACAUACACACACAUAAAACCCCCCAUCAUCUUCACCUCUCUCGCAAAUCCGGUCAUCGGAGUGAGCUCCGACUGAAAUUCCGGCGGUCACAACUGAAUCUCUGGCGAAAUUGACAUCCACAACCAGUUACCUUUCCCCCUCCGUCUCUUCUCCGGCUCCGGCGACCGGAGUGACGCCGGUUAACCGGUCGACACUCACACCCGGCUCCCCUUCUUCUCCGGCGCCGAGAAACCGGACGGCAAACAUCAACCCACCCCCCCUUCUUCUUUCUCAACUGACGGAUCGGAGCACCACCACCACAAGUCCGGUGGUGGUGCGGCGGCUACACAUAGAGAGACCGAGAGAGAGAGAAAGAACCGGCGGUCGGAGUCUCGGACCGCCGGUCGGUUCAAUUAUCCGACGGUCUUUGUUUCUGACCGACGGUAUGAUGCGAUGAUAAAGAUGAGACGUUGAAGAUAAUCGGAGAAACCGAUCUUAUCAGUGAAGUUCGCCGGCGACGGCAGUGGAGUGUUCUCCGCUGAAAUUUGACGCUUGUGUUUGGUUCAGGUCAUCCUUGGUACGGAUCAAGAGGUUCAGGUUUCAUAUUCGACACAGUUCGGGUCAACAGUAACUGGUCAACGAGCAUUCGGGUUAUGGUUUGGUUCGGGUCUCGGUCAGUUAGGGUGCGGUUCAGGUCAGAUUCAGAAUUUCGUGGCUCGGGUUGACUCGGUCAACCCUGGUCAACACAGCGAGUUGACUCAGUCAACUCAACCGGUCAACUCAGCCAACUUUUCGGUUCGGUAAAAGAUUUAGGACACAUCAUUAUUUACGUAACUAAUUUUCAUUAUUACACGUGAACGAGCUCGAACCGAUUUAUAAUUGUGUUUAGUUUAUACUUUGCGGUUUUAUGAAAAAUAUAUAUAUUAAUGAUAGAAUCUUGGUUGAAUUUUGAUAAAAUAACGACAACUUGUGUUGUCGGGGGUGUCCAAAAACAGAGGAAACUCUGCCCGUUUUUCGAGAAAAUGUGUAAAGGCAAAACGCGUUUUAUUAUAAAACAUGUUAUCGGAUUCGAAUAAUCUCUUAUAAAGACGAUUACAAAUAUAUAGCUACUUACGACAACCCUUUACAACUUACAACAAACGACGAUACGGAAAUUAUUUCGACAACAAAUAAAUAUAGUUAUUAUAUUUAUU
rnacentral:lncRNA from 1 species